rnacentral:misc_RNA from 1 species
GUUUGAUGUCAUCACCAUCUUCAGGUACAGUUUCUAUCCAACAAAUUAGACAAUUUUACACUGCAAUAGUGUCAAGUUGAGGAGAAGUCACUUUACACCCAAACAACAAAUGAAGCAGAACUUGAGGAUAAUCUCAAAUAUGAAUCCUCUGCUAAGCAUAACUAAGCUGUCUCAUAUUAAAUCACAUAAACUGCACUGAUUUAUUACUGUUCUAGAUUAUAAAUUCCUAAACUAGGGUAUGAUAGAGACGUAAGAAUUAUUCCUGGUCAAGUUUACUCAUGAUUCAUUGCAAAAGCUGUCUAGGGUUCAUCAUGGCACCAACUACAUCACACAGAAGUAGCGAGCAACAUAAAGCAGUAAAUUGAAUUACCUUUAGACGCAAUAGAUUUCUGGCAGGAGAAAAUAUUUGUACAGAUUUCUGACAGUAGCUACUUCUUCUUCCUUAGCUUCAAAGAUUUUAUACUGGCGAAAAAGAUUAGGAAUAAAAUCUCAGGUAACUUGCAGACAUAGAAAAGAAAAGAAAGUUCUUGGUUAUAUACCAGAUUUUGUGCGUAGAAUUUGUAAUCUCUGCACAGAGAUUUGUAUGCUAUGAAAAUGGUUUUGAGUUGGGUUUGAAGAAAGAUGGGACAAAACUGGUAAUGGCGGGAAAUAUGGGGGAAGAAAUAAAAUUAACCCAAACUCUUUCUUCGUUUGCCAGUAGGACUAGAAGGUUGGUGGUACGGUUCGUUAAUCACUGUAUUCUGCAAAGUACUCAACUUUUCGUUUCCCUUAUGAUUCCCUUUUUUUCUUUUCAACCUUUUUUCUUAAAGA